ACGGGACGCCACCAAGCUCGAUGGAUAGGGGUUCUGAGAGGAAGGUCCCCCACAUUGGAACUGAGACACGGUCCAAACUCCUACGGGAGGCAGCAUG
rnacentral:rRNA from 1 species